GAUGAACGCUGGCGGCGUGCCUAAUACAUGCAAGUCGAGCGAACAGACGAGGAGCUUGCUCCUCUGACGUUAGCGGCGGACGGGUGAGUAACACGUGGUUAACCUACCUAUAAGACUGGGAUAACUUCGGGAAACCGGAGCUAAUACCGGAUAAUAUAUUGAACCGCAUGGUUCAAUAGUGAAAGACGGUUUUGCUGUCACUUAUAGAUGGAUCCGCGCCGCAUUAGCUAGUUGGUAAGGUAACGGCUUACCAAGGCAACGAUGCGUAGCCGACCUGAGAGGGUGAUCGGCCACACUGGAACUGAGACACGGUCCAGACUCCUACGGGAGGCAGCAGUAGGGAAUCUUCCGCAAAGGGCGAAAGCCUGACGGAGCAACGCCGCGUGAGUGAUGAAGGUCUUCGGAUCGUAAAACUCUGUUAUUAGGGAAGAACAAAUGUGUAAGUAACUAUGCACGUCUUGACGGUACCUAAUCAGAAAGCCACGGCUAACUACGUG
rnacentral:rRNA from 1 species